UACGUAGGGGGCAAGCGUUGUCCGGAAUCAUUGGGCGUAAAGAGCGUGUAGGCGGCCCGGUAAGUCCGCUGUGAAAGUCCAGGGCUCAACCCUGGGAUGCCGGUGGAUACUGUCGGGCUCGAGUCCGGAAGAGGAGUGUGGAAUUCCUGGUGUAGCGGUGAAAUGCGCAGAUAUCAGGAGGAACACCGAUGGCGAAGGCAGCUCGCUGGGACGGUACUGACGCUGAGACGCGAAAGCGUGGGGAGCAAACAGG
rnacentral:rRNA from 1 species